GUAUGGAAAUCUUGGGACAUUUUUUUUCUCCUAUCAGGAUUGAAAGACCUCGCGAUUCUGAGUAUGAAUCGCGUAAAAAAUACCCAUGUUACAAAAAAAGUGGGGUGGACAACUUUGAAAAAUGGCCCUAAUUCGCUUUCUGCAUUUCCUAUGAGUCUCGAGCCGCGUCGAAUCGCAUUCAAAAUGUAUGAGGACUCGAUUCGACGCGGCUCCAUUCCACCUUAGUGGACGCCAGGCUUAAAUCGCUCGCUCUUUUAUUUACACGGGAGCUAUCUUUUGUUCGUUUCUAUAGCCAAUAUCUCAUCGCUUACUCCUUUUGGUUAGACCAGUGCCUAUAGUCUAUGGUAUUCUUUGCUUUUUUAAAUGAUCUCUGUCCGUGUCAUCAGAUCUUUGGUGCAAUCCUAGUGUUGCCAUAUUACUGUAAACGCUAUUUUUAAUUUGCUUAAGGAAAGAAUCUAUUUUUAUUUGUCAUAUGAUUAUAUGCUACUAUUAAGUAUAUUAUAUUAGUAAAUGUUCCUUUAAUGUU